rnacentral:rRNA from 1 species
AACGGACGAACGCUGGCGGCGAUGCCUAACACAUGCAAGUCGAACGGGGGUAGCAAUACCCUAGUGGCGAACGGGUGAGUAACACAUAAGCAAUCUCGCCCUUCACAGGGGGAUAACAGCGGGAAACUGCUGCUAAUACCGCAUAAGACCACGGUACCGCAUGGUACAGGGGUAAAAACGAAUCAGUGGUGAAGGAUGAGCUUAUGUCCCCAUUAGCUAGUUGGUGAGAUAACAGCCCACCAAGGCGACGAUGGGUAGCCGACCUGAGAGGGUGAUCGGCCACACUGGAACUGAGACACGGUCCAGACUCCUACGGGAGGCAGCAGUGGGGAAUAUUGGGCAAUGGAGGAAAAACCUCUUACCCAGCAAUGCCGCGUGAGUGAAGAAGGUCUUCGGAUUGUAAAGCUCUUUGAUUGGGGACGAAGAAAGUGACGGUACCCAAAGAACAAGCCCCGGCUAACUACGUGCCAGCCGCUGC